GACGAACGCUGGCGGCGUGCUUAACACAUGCAAGUCGAACGGAAAGGCCCUGCUUUUGUGGGGUGCUCGAGUGGCGAACGGGUGAGUAACACGUGAGUAACCUGCCCUUGACUUUGGGAUAACUUCAGGAAACUGGGGCUAAUACCGGAUAGGAGCUCCUGCUGCAUGGUGGGGGUUGGAAAGUUUCGGCGGUUGGGGAUGGACUUGAGGUUUAUGAGCUUGUUGGUGGGGUAGUGGCUUACCAAGGCUUUGACGGGUAGCCGGCCUGAGAGGGUGACCGGCCACAUUGGGACUGAGAUACGGCCCAGACGCCUACGGGAGGCAGCAGUGGAGAAUAUUGCACAAUGGGCGGAAGCCUGAGGCAGCGACGCCGCGUGCGGGAUGACGGCCUUCGGGUUGUAAACCGCUUUCGCCUGUGACGAAGCGUGAGUGACGGUAAUGGGUAAAGAAGCACCGGCUAACUACGUG
rnacentral:rRNA from 1 species